AUUGAACGCUGGCGGCAUGCUUUACACAUGCAAGUCGAACGGUAACAGGCCGCAAGGUGCUGACGAGUGGCGAACGGGUGAGUAAUACAUCGGAACGUGCCCAGUCGUGGGGGAUAACGCAGCGAAAGCUGCGCUAAUACCGCAUACGAUCUAUGGAUGAAAGCGGGGGACCGUAAGGCCUCGCGCGAUUGGAGCGGCCGAUGUCAGAUUAGGUAGUUGGUGGGGUAUAGGCUCACCAAGCCAACGAUCUGUAGCUGGUCUGAGAGGACGACCAGCCACACUGGGACUGAGACACGGCCCAGACUCCUACGGGAGGCAGCAGUGGGGAAUUUUGGACAAUGGGCGCAAGCCUGAUCCAGCAAUGCCGCGUGCAGGAAGAAGGCCUUCGGGUUGUAAACUGCUUUUGUACGGAACGAAACGGUCCUGGUUAAUACCUGGGGCUAAUGACGGUACCGUAAGAAUAAGCACCGGCUAACUACGUGCCAGCCGCCGCGGCAACAC
rnacentral:rRNA from 1 species